rnacentral:rRNA from 1 species
GGCGCAGGCGGGGCAAUAAGUCAGUGGUGAAAUCCUGCGGCUUAACCGUAGAACUGCCAUUGAUACUGUUGCCCUUGAGUAUAGUUGAGGUGGGCGGAAUAUGUAAUGUAGCGGUGAAAUGCAUAGAUAUUACAUAGAACACCAAUUGCGAAGGCAGCUCACUAAGCUAUCACUGACGCUGAGGCACGAAAGCGUGGGGAGCGAACAGGAUUAGAUACCCUGGAGUCC